AUUGAAAAUUAACAGCAGUAUUCUUUGACCUCAGCCUUUAUAGCCAAACUGCUAAUCUUCAGUAAAUAUAGGAUUGUAUUACUAAUCUAUUGACAUUUAGCACAAAUUAGCUAUUAAACAGGCUAGUUGUUACAGUUAAACUUUUUUUUUUUUAAGCCAAGGGAACCUCUCAACAACAUUUUCUUUUUUGGUCUUUUUGGGGCUACACCCAUGGCAUAUUGCAAGUUCCCAGGCUAGAGGUCAAAUUGGAGCUGUAGCAGCCGGCCUACACCAUAGCCACAGCAAUGCAGGAUCCUUAACCCACUGAAUGAGGCUGGGGAUUGAACCUGCGUCCUCAUGGAUACUAGUUGGGUUCAUUACAGCUGAACCAUCACAGGAACUCCCCUAAACAAUCUUAUUAGACUUAUUAACUGUAAUAUCACAUCAACUCUUAUCAUCAAAAUGAUUGCAGUUUCAGAGUCACUGUUAACAGAAAAAGACUCCAACAAAAGUGACCACUGACCUUUAUAAGUAAGAUUUGAGAAGUGAAACUUUUAUUGAAAAAAGGAAUUUGCAGACCUGCUUCCCUGUUAAGUCAUUCUGAAGUUCUUACAGUAGAGUUGUGUCUACUUUUAAUAAGACAUAGGUGUCAUUAGCAUAUUUACCUGGACUGAAUGAAUGAGUAGAUUAUAUGUUUGGGAUUUGCAUUUCCUUCCUCUGCUCUAGCAGCUUCAGCACCAAAGUGUAGUUGUAAAAUGACACACUGUGGAAUUUGAAGUGGUGUAUGUGGCAGUCAGGGUCCUAGCAAGAGACAGAAUCUAACUCAGAAGGUUCAAGAGCCUUUAAUGAAGGGGAGAUGCAAGAAGUAUGGGUGGGGUUCAAGUCCCCGACAAAGAGUGUUGAGGUAUUCCAACUCAAGCCACAAGGGAGGCUGUUCUCAGCUGAGACCUAGAGCAGCUGUGGGUGGAAGGCAUGUUAAUGUCAUUCAGGGAGAGCAGGGGCCACGGGACAGAAGCUAGGGUCCUGUAGGAACAAGAGCACCAGCGUUGGGGGGGCGGGGCCGGUUACCCAGACCUCUCUUUCAAUCUUCUCAUCUCUAUUGUUCAAAUGCAGUCAGCCAGGAGGAGCUUGGGGAUUCAGCCCACAGCAGAGAAGCCUCCUGAGGUGUCGGAAGAGAGAAAAGCCUAGGAUGGAUCUUCUAGGGGAAGAGGGCCGAGCAGACAAUAACCAGCCCAGAUGGGAAAUGCUGUUGCAGAGCCCACAGCUGCCAAAAAAGAAAAGCUUAUUCAAGGAAUUCGGGGCCCUGACCUCUUUUGAUCUUGGGUUAGCAUCCACUCUCUGAAACUCUUUCAAAUAUACUUGCAAUCCCGCGGCAGCAGCCAGAAUUGCUGGUCACAUCAGCUUGUGCUAGUCUCGUCACUCUACAUGGUCUAGGUGCAAUUGUAGGGCCGAGAGAGCUGGUCCUGCAGCUCUCUGAUGGAGGAAGGUACAAAGAGAGAAAAAUAGGAAAACUAUUAAGAAUUUCUUCAAGAAGUAUAACUAAGGAGAGAAUAAUAGUGUAAGGAAACCUGGGGAAGCCAUGUGCAGGAAAAUGACCUGCAAAUGAUUUCAUAGCUAUUUGGCAGUACGCUGUCGCACACUCUCGCCAGCCCCCACCAGCUUCCAGAGCUCUCAGUGUGGAGGGCAGCAUUGGUGGGCUAUUUAUUAUAAAGAAUGAACCCCUAGAGAUGAUUAUUCUCAGUAUAAACAGUGACAUUACCCAUCUUAUAUAUAUAUCCCAACCAGAAGUUUGUGUUUAGAGUUACUGCUUCACCAGCUUGAAAGGGAAAACUGUUUUAGCAAGAAGGGGCAAAAGAGAGUUCCCAUCAUGGCUCAGAGGUGGUAAACCCAACUAGUAUCCAUGAGGAUGCAGGUUCGUACCCCGCCCCCCAGGCCCGCCACUCCCCCUCCACUCAGUGUGCCAAGGAUCAGCGUUGCUGUGAGCUGUGGUGUAGGUCACAGAUGUGGGCUCAGAUCUGGGGUGGCAGUGGCUGUGGCUUAGGCUGGCAGCUACAGCUCCAAUUCAACCCCUAGUCUAGAAAUCUCCACAUGCUGUGGGCACGGCCCUAAAAAGACAAAGAGGGGGGGGGGAGAGGGGCAAAAAGAUACCACUCUGUGAAAUGUAUAUCUAUGGAUUGUCAUCUGCUAUAUGACAAUAGCUUAAAGCCUGCCUUGGUCCACGUUCCACUAGCAGCUGUCAAGAAAUAAACAUCCGCAUCCCAGGCCUUCUUCCACGGCUCACACCUUUGUGCUUUCUGGGUCACUAUAACAAAAUGCCACAGACCAAGUGGCUUACAAACAACAGAAAUGUACUGCUCACAGUUCUCAGGCUGCAAGUCUGAGACCAGGGUGUCAGCAUGGUGGGGAGAGGGUGCUCUUCCCGGUCACAGACGUCUUGUUGUAUCCUCUCAGGGUGGAAGGGGCUAGGGAGCUCUGCCGGUGUCCUUUAUAAGAGCCCUAAUCUCAUUCAUGAGGGCUUCACCCUCCUGACCUCAUCACCUCCCCAGAGUCCUGCUACUAAUACCAUCACCUCUGGGCAUUAAGACUUCAGCAUGUGGGCAGUUCCCAUCAUGGCGCAGCAGAAACAAAUCUGACUAGGUACCAUGAGGUUGGGGGUUCCAUCCCUGGCCUCACUCAGUGUGUUAAGGAUCCGGCAUUGCCUUGAGCUGUGGUGUAGGUUGCAGACACGGCUUGGAUCCUGCAUUGCUGUGGUAUAGGCCGGCAGCAGUAGCUCUGAUUUAGACCCCUAGUCUGGGAACCUCCAUAUGCCACGGGUGUGGCCCUCAGAAAGACAAAAGACAAAGAUUUUAGCAUGUGAAUUUGUUGUGGGGAGUGGGAGAUACAGAGAUUCUGACCAUAGUAGUUUAUUCUAAUCUUGUGCUUCAGUUUCAUCAUACUUUUGCCUGGCAAAAUCCCAGCCCAGAAAAAAUCCAGCUCUCCAAAACCAUGCCUGGCCUCGAGAGCCAAAUGCGGCUGGAGAAAACAUACACUGAGGACUGGUUGCAUGUUACCUUACUUGAACCCUUUCUUUCCCUAGGAAUACCUCUGUUUUCCUGGUCCAUUCACUCUCCUCCUCUUGUAGACAAUGACUUUCAUACUCUCUCCUCAAACCCCAAACACUUCCCAUAUCCUAUCUCUGCUCUGAUAACCUGAUAACCUUUCUUCCUACUAUACUGCAGACAAACCCCAGAGGCCAUCAGAAGGGAAUCCACAAGCUCCCACCACAUCUUCUCACCUCCCAGAAUUGGUGCCCUAGGCUAUGCCUUCCUCCUGUUACCAAAGAGCUUCAAAGAAGAGCCUCUUCACAUGACACCUGCUUUUUCUCUUGCCUUCUAAGGGACCUUUUCUCAGCAAUUCUUCCUCUUUUCUCUUGUAUUGAUUUUUUUCUCUCCAUUGGAUCAUUCAAACACCAUAAAAACCUGCCAUAAUGUCCCAGUGUUAUAAAACAUAUCAUUGAUCCUGUGUCUUUCUUUAGUCACCCCCUCCCCAUUUUUCUAUCCUUUUCAACAAAGUUCCCUGGCAGAGCUGUCCCUGCCCCAUUGAUUAUGGUCAGACAAUGGCUAGAAACUGGCCACUGGGACAACUGCUCAGCCUCUCCUGGUUGCUGAAUUCAGUAGUGCAUGUCAGUCUUCCUCUUCUUUGGCCUGUUUGAUCAGCUACCCUUCCUUACAUGAUGUCCAGUUCUCUACACUUCUCCAGUUUUCCACAUACCUUAGAGGUUUUCCUUGUAAAAAGCUCGUUGCUGUUUUUGCUUGUCAGCCCAACUUCUUGCUGUUAGAAUGACCCAGAACCAGGCUUCAGCCCUUUGCAAACUUUUCCACCAUAAGCUCUCCUCAUCUCCACUCCAGGAACCCAAGCUCUUAUGCUGAAAAUUAAAAAGUCCAUAGGCUUUGUCGACCUUGGCCUGUGCUCUAGCUGCCCAGUGAGCCACUGGAAAAAUCAAUAUUUGAUGAAAAUUUGAAUAUAUUUACUCUUGUGGUUUUAAAUAAUAUCUGUAUGCUGAAAAUUUCCAAACUAAUCUCUCCUAUGCUAUGGACCUGUCUAUACAACUGCCUAAGUGAAGGCUCCACUUGAGUGCUUUACAGGCACUCAGAACUUUAUAGUUCCUUACCAGAACUGAAUGGAACACCUUUAAUUGGAUCAUCCUCCCAUCAUUACCACCUCAGGUGGUGACACCUCAUCCUUCAGCUGCUUAGGCUGAAAAAUACUGCAGUCUUCUUUGCUCCUGUCUUUCUUGCCCAAAGCCAAAUCAUCAGCAAAUCCUAACUAUCUCACGCCACCGUCACUGCUCCCUUCCUGGUCCGAGCCACCAUCCUCUCUCACCUGACUGAUGCAAAGGCCCCUCACUGGUCUGUCUGCCUCCCGCUUGUUCAUCUUCUCUCUCCCCAUCCCCCCCAGCAGUUUAUUUGCAGCACAUCAGAUCAUCUCUUGCCCUCCAGUGCCUCCCUGUUUCAUAAUGGCUUCUGAGGCUAUCCGUGAUCUGGUUCUCUAUAAUCCUUGACUUCCCUUGGGCAGAUGUUUCUGCUGUAACCGUCUGUGUGUGUCCUAUAAAACUUUGUGUUCUGUAAAAUGUACUCUUAAAAAAAAAAACAGGGCUUUUGGGAAAAGUAGGAUUAGAGCAGAUCUUUCCUAUUUCACACAACUUGAAAACCAUGCUAACCAGAGCCAUAAGGGAUAGUUCUGGGUCAGGGGAGCUGGGCAAGUGGGAGGGGGACAGUUUUGGGGGGGUGGUCAGAGCCUGGUGCAGGUGCUCAUCCUCUUAAAUGGACCUGAAAUCACUCCAGCCUGUGCUGAAGCCAAACUGAGGCCUUCCUCUUUCCCUGCCAAGAUUAGAAUUCUACCCCUGCUCUUCUGGCUCCUUUUGCCU
rnacentral:lncRNA from 1 species